rnacentral:tRNA from 1 species
UAGAAAAUAGUAUAGUGGAAGUACAAAGGGUUUUGGGCCCUUAAGUGCAGGCUCAGACCCUGUUUUUCUAA